GGGCCUGUAGCUCAGUUGGUUAGAGCACACCCUUGAUAAGGGUGGGGUCGGAUGUUCGAGUCAUCCCAGGCCCACCA
rnacentral:tRNA from 1 species